CCUGACAUUAUAGUUUUCAUUUUCUCACAAAAAAGCAACAGAAAUAUUCUCCUUAAAGUUUGAAGAGAAGCUAACAACUGAACACAGAUGAGAACAAAGACUGGUCUCAGUUUUUUCUUUGUUUAUUGUGUUGGUCUGUUCAUAUCUUUAAAGAGAUUAUAUACACAAAUUAGUACAAGAAGAGUUAUCCAAAAAAUUACACAUUCAAAAAAAGACAGACAACCCUUGUGAAAAAGAUUUGAACCAGACUGUGAGCCGUCUCUGCUGUGGAGUUUAGAUUCUCACAUUCUCUAUCUGUUUUAAAGCUAAAGAAGUCCACGCGCGUAUAAAGAUCAUUUCCAGUUAAGAAAGAAACAGGAGCAGUGUUUUAAUCGCUACAGCAGACAACAUACAAAAACAGGAAGUGUCCCUCGUCUGUCACAAAAGUGUCAUUUCCUCUGAAAUCUUUGAUGUUUGGACUAAAAGCAAACUAAAGCUAAAUUUAUCAUGUGCUAUUAAACAAACGUCCAUGCUAUAACUGAAUCUGUGAUUAAAAUAACUUACUGACUUUUAGCUAGUUACGUCUGAUUCCAAAGAGAUCCCGAUCAGAAAGUGAAAAAAUACACGCCUCCUCCUUUUUGUCAAACAAUCAACAAAUAUUCACCAAACGUUCACAUUUCACUCCUCUCACUCACUCAGACUACCUGAAGUCACGAUAGAAAAAGAGACAGGGUUAACAACACAGAUCUCACUGCAGACUUUAAGAGCAGACGUGAGGCGCUGCUGGAGGUCUCCUUAAGGCUCGCAGAUCUGAGUCUCCACCACGAACUCGCUCUCGAAGUGACGGAUCUUGAAACAGUUCAGAGCUUCGCGCUUCUGCAUCCCUGUGAAACAAAGAGAGGCGGUUAGAGCAACGUCACUGGGGGAGAGCGGCUCGGGCCUGAGUUAGAGAGCUCCUGUGAAGCUCAGCGGAUAACACGUAAAGAUUAGAUUCUUCUGGAAACAUCGAGGAGGAGCUGAGGAUGAGUUAACUUCAGGGGACAAUGAUUCUGAGUUCAACACACUCUCACACAAAUACAUACAAAUCAUGUGUUAGCAGUAAACUCAGUUUUCAAAUCCUGCCUUCUGAACGCUGCUGGAGCAAAAUCACUCCUUCAGAUUUUAGAGGAGCAAUAAAACAAAACACUUUCAAAGAACAUGUGAUUUUCUGGCCAAAAAUUGAGUCUCUCGUUAAAAGUUUAAUAUUUUCCAUCAGUUCAUUGAGAAAGUGUGAUACUUUCUAGGCUCUAAAAUGUUUGAUGCAUUGUUCCUUUUUUAAUUUUCGUAUUUUAUGGACUACAGCUCAAAAAAGCGUAAAAAUAAAGCUCUAAUUUCUCUUAUAAUAAAAACACUUUAAAGUCUAAUUAAUUCAAAAUGUAAGAUUAUUUCAGUUCACUGCAUGUCACAAACUUUGUCACGAUGUAAUGAUUGUUUGAGAUAACGGUGGAAUAACAACAGAGCCCCCCUUACCCAGGAUCCGGUCUCUGCGCUGCAGCUUGUAGGUGUCUUUGCCGCUGCACAGGUUGUAGAUGAAAUACCCGAGCUGGUCCACAUGCUCCAAACGCUCCGUCACGAUCAUCUCCUCGUGGAUCAGGUAAGACUGAGGCAGGUAGGUGCCGGCCUGACAGAGAGAGAGAGAGACAUGAAUGUGAGAUAUAACACGUGACAAUGACUUAGAAAAUAGAAGUCUUGUGUAUCUGAUCCGGAGGGCUCUGACCUGCCGGAUCAGAGACGCAGCCGGAACUCAACGGAGUGGAUCCAGUGGAAAUUAACACAUUGAGUAGAAUAGAAACCUAUCAGAACAUCCGGUGUGGAUGUUUUCAGUGUUUCUGAUCAGAACGUGAUUGUAACUUGCAAAGCAGCCAUCAGGAGCAAGUUAUUCUGGAUUAUUGAUCUCAGUUUAGGAAAAUCCAUGUCAUGCAUUGUUAAUCUGAGGCUCUGAAUACAUGUAAAACACACUGACACUGCUUGAUGUGUUUUUAAAUAAUUUAAUUUCUUGUUCUUUUGUCUCUGCAGGAAAACAGAAACAUUUAUCCUCCAAAAAUGUUGAAUUAUUCUUUCAAAUUUCCUAAAGCACAAAGUCAAAGCAAGUUAUCACACACAUCAUGUUAAUCAUUGAUCAUCGCUCUCAGUGAGCUUGACACUGAAAGGUCAGGACUAUUUCGUCGUCAUGUUUCACCUUGACGUUGACGAUCAGCUCCAGGAAGUCUCUGGGCGGCAUGACGAUGGAGGUGUUGAGCGGGAUGACGUAGCACUUGUUCAGACUGAGAUCCAGGUAGGCGGUCAACCUCUGAGAGACAAAACAACGAUCACAUGAUAAUUAAUAACUGAAACUGAGGAUUGAUGAUGUCAGAUUGUGGGUGUGGCUUCUCCGUCUCACCCUCUGGAAGUCGUGCACGAUGUCAGCAGGGUCUCCAUUCUCAAACUCAGGCACGGGGACAUUGAUGAGCUCCACCUGCUCCUUCUCCAGAACCCUGAUCCGCUCCUCGAUCUGCCGCAGGUGGAACUGGUUCGGCAGCUCCACCUCCACCUGGAAACCAGUUCAACCAGUCAGCCUCUAGUGGAACACUUGAGGAACUGCAGCUUUUAACACUUCAGCAUCAGCUUCAUUCCUGCAGACCGGAGGCCGCUGCUCUCACUGAACAUUGUUAUUAUCACUCUAUGAAGUAUGCUGCGCCAUAUUUGUUUGAGCUUUGAUAAAAUAAUGUAUGAUUAAAGAAGCAGCUUGUUUUUUAUUCAUUAUUAUUAUUAUCUUUUUAUUUGUUUUUAUUUUCUUAUUUAAGAAUUGUAUUGUCUUAUUUUUGUUGUUAUAUGACAUUGUCAAUUACAAGUGUUCAAAACGAUGGUCAAAUUCUGUCACAAAAGUGCUAAUGAACAAAGUUCAUAAAAAAGAAAGGAGAGCAGCUGAUUCUCAAAUGUACUGCUGCAGCUCUUAACUCAGAGAAGUUCAGGGAUUAAGGAGUAACAAUGACCAGAGAAAUAUCUGAUCGAAGCCACAUCUGAGUUACAAAACAAAAAUAUAAAGUUAUCAUGAUUUAAAGUUCAUCCAACAAUAAAAUCCGGCACAUAAACAGA